UACGUAGGGUCCGAGCGUUGUCCGGAAUUAUUGGGCGUAAAGAGCUCGUAGGCGGUCUGUUGCGUCGGCUGUGAAAACCCGGGGCUCAACCCCGGGCCUGCAGCCGAUACGGGCAGACUAGAGUUCGGCAGGGGAGACUGGAAUUCCUGGUGUAGCGGUGAAAUGCGCAGAUAUCAGGAGGAACACCGGUGGCGAAGGCGGGUCUCUGGGCCGAUACUGACGCUGAGGAGCGAAAAGCGUGGGGGAGCGAACAGG
rnacentral:rRNA from 1 species